GCUGGGUUGUGGCUCAGUGGUAGAAUGCUUGCCCAGCAUGUGUGAGGCAAUGGGUUUGAUCCCCAAUCCCCAGCG
rnacentral:tRNA from 1 species